GAUCCUGGCGUCAGGACGGAACGCUGGCGGCGUGCCUAAUACAUGCAAGUCGAACGAGAGCGACCGGUGCUUGCACUGGUCAAUCUAGUGGCGAACGGGUGAGUAACACGUGGGUAACCUGCCCAUCAGAGGGGGAUAACAUUCGGAAACGGAUGCUAAAACCGCAUAGGUCCUUUAACCGCAUGGUUGAAGGAGGAAAAGAGGCACAAGCUUUCUGCUGAUGGAUGGACCCGCGGUGCAUUAG
rnacentral:rRNA from 1 species